AACGAACGCUGGCGGCAUGCCUAACACAUGCAAGUCGAACGAGACCUUCGGGUCUAGUGGCGCACGGGUGCGUAACGCGUGGGAACCUGCCCUUAGGUUCGAAAUACUCCCCGAAAGGGGUGCUAAUACCGGAUAAUGUCUUCGGACCAAAGAUUUAUCGCCUUUGGAUGGGCCCGCGUUGGAUUAGCUAGUUGGUAGGGUAAAAGCCUACCAAGGCGACGAUCCAUAGCUGGUCUGAGAGGAUGAUCAGCCACACUGGGACUGAGACACGGCCCAGACUCCUACGGGAAGCAGCAGUGGGGAAUAUUGGACAAUGGGCGAAAGCCUGAUCCAGCAAUGCCGCGUGGGUGAUGAAGGCCUUAGGGUUGUAAAGCUCUUUUACCCGGGAUGAUAAUGACAGUACCGGGAGAAUAAGCUCCGGCUAACUCCGUG
rnacentral:rRNA from 1 species